CUUAAAUCAUUGGUAUAUGCAUUAUUAAGCUCUUAGUUCAUUUAGGUCAUCGGCGUUUAUAAGUUCCGACGCAAUCCUCGGUCGAGACAUCACUUCCCCAGUCUCCGUUCUGCAGGUAUGAUGAGUUUUUCAAACGAUUCCAAGGGAAAAAAGUGCAUUGCAGAUCAUUUAGGCUAUGGAAGCACGUAUGUUUCCGAUGAUAAUGGAAACAAAACAUCAAAGGGCCGGAAAAGCAGCAUAGGAGAUCAUUUAGGUUAUGGAAGCACUUAUGUUUCUAAUAAUAAUGGAAACAAACCAUCAAAGGGAAGCAGCAAAAAGCUGACCAUAGGCGACCUGAUGGGCUAUGGGGAGAAGCCACCUCUGACCAACAAGUAAACAAUGAUUCUCCAUCAUCACUCCAUUAUCACCACCACUCCGACCUCGUCUUGUUGAUUCUCAAAGCUACUAUUUGCAUGUUUCCCUUCGUGUCAUGCUGCUUGUGUGUUGUUGUUUAUGUAAUAUCAUUUUCCUUUUGCUACUUUAAUUAACAAAGUCAUGUGCUGUUACAGUGUGUUUCUAGGUUUUACUUACCUGGAGGCCUCCAAUGGUUGAGAAAAUGAGAAUCAGUUUAACAGAA